UAUGUAACAUCACUACAUUAAUAUAUUCCACUAGGUAACAUCACUAGGUAACAUUACUACAUUAAUAUAUUCCACCUGGUAACAUCACUACAUUAAUAUAUUCCACCUGGUAACAUCACUACAUUAAUAUAUUCCACCUGGUAACAUCACUACAUUAAUAUAUUCCACUAGGUAACAUCACUACAUUAAUAUAUUCCACUAGGUAACAUCACUACAUGAAUAUAUUCCACCUGGUAACAUCACUACAUUAAUAUAUUCCACCUGGUAACAUCACUACAUUAAUAUAUUCCACUAGGUAACAUCACUACAUUAAUAUAUUCCAUUAGGUAACAUCACUACAUUAAUAUAUUCCACUAGGUAAC
rnacentral:lncRNA from 1 species